rnacentral:misc_RNA from 1 species
GAUGAAGAACGCAGCGAAAUGCGAUACGUAAUGUGAAUUGCAAAUUCAGUGGAUCAUCGAGUCUUUGAACGCACAUUGCGCCCCCUGGUAUUCCGGGGGGCAUGCCUGUCCGAGCGUCAUUGCUGCCCUCAAGCACGGCUUGUGUGUUGGGCCCCGUCCUCCGAUCCCGGGGGACGGGCCCGAAAGGCAGCGGCGGCACCGCGUCCGGUCCUCGAGCGUAUGGGGCUUUGUCACCCGCUCUGUAGGCCCGGCCGGCGCUUGCCGAUCAACCCAAAUUUUUAUCCAGGUUGACCUCGGAUCAGGUAGGGAUACCCGCUGAACUUAAGCAUAUCAAUAAGCGGAGGA